rnacentral:rRNA from 1 species
CGCAUGGUUCAAAAGUGAAAGACGGUCUUGCUGUCACUUAUAGAUGGAUCCGCGCUGCAUUAGCUAGUUGGUAAGGUAACGGCUUACCAAGGCAACGAUGCAUAGCCGACCUGAGAGGGUGAUCGGCCACACUGGAACUGAGACACGGUCCAGACUCCUACGGGAGGCAGCAGUAGGGAAUCUUCCGCAAUGGGCGAAAGCCUGACGGAGCAACGCCGCGUGAGUGAUGAAGGUCUUCGGAUCGUAAAACUCUGUUAUUAGGGAAGAACAUAUGUGUAAGUAACUGUGCACAUCUUGACGGUACCUAAUCAGAAAGCCACGGCUAACUACGUGCCAGCAGCCGCGGUAAUACGUAGGUGGCAAGCGUUAUCCGGAAUUAUUGGGCGUAAAGCGCGCGUAGGCGGUUUUUUAAGUCUGAUGUGAAAGCCCACGGCUCAACCGUGGAGGGUCAUUGGAAACUGGAAAACUUGAGUGCAGAAGAGGAAAGUGGAAUUCCAUGUGUAGCGGUGAAAUGCGCAGAGAUAUGGAGGAACACCAGUGGCGAAGGCGACUUUCUGGUCUGUAACUGACGCUGAUGUGCGAAAGCGUGGGGAUCAAACAGGAUUAGAUACCCUGGUAGUCCACGCCGUAAACGAUGAGUGCUAAGUGUUAGGGGGUUUCCGCCCCUUAGUGCUGCAGCUAACGCAUUAAGCACUCCGCCUGGGGAGUACGACCGCAAGGUUGAAACUCAAAGGAAUUGACGGGGACCCGCACAAGCGGUGGAGCAUGUGGUUUAAUUCGAAGCAACGCGAAGAACCUUACCAAAUCUUGACAUCCUUUGACAACUCUAGAGAUAGAGCCUUCCCCUUCGGGGGACAAAGUGACAGGUGGUGCAUGGUUGUCGUCAGCUCGUGUCGUGAGAUGUUGGGUUAAGUCCCGCAACGAGCGCAACCCUUAAGCUUAGUUGCCAUCAUUAAGUUGGGCACUCUAAGUUGACUGCCGGUGACAAACCGGAGGAAGGUGGGGAUGACGUCAAAUCAUCAUGCCCCUUAUGAUUUGGGCUACACACGUGCUACAAUGGACAAUACAAAGGGCAGCGAAACCGCGAGGUCAAGCAAAUCCCAUAAAGUUGUUCUCAGUUCGGAUUGUAGUCUGCAACUCGACUACAUGAAGCUGGAAUCGCUAGUAAUCGUAGAUCAGCAUGCUACGGUGAAUACGUUCCCGGGUCUUGUACACACCGCCCGUCACACCACGAGAGUUUGUAACACCCGAAGCCGGUGGAGUAACCUUUUAGGAGCUAGCCGUCGAAGGUGGGACAAAUGAUUGGGGUGAAGUCGUAACAAGGUAGCCGUAUCGGAAGGUGCGGCUG